GUGGAGCGACUGCAGCCAGGCCGACGACGGCUGCAGCAAGGGCGACGGCAAUGGCAGUAGCGGCGACUGCAGUAACGGCGGCGGCAACAGCAGCAAGGGGGAGGCAACAAGGUUGGCGAUGAGAUGAGAAUAGACGGCGACGGCAGCAAGGUUGGCGAUGGGAUGAGGGUUUGUAAGGGUGGUGGGGGCUUGAGUUGAGAGGGUUUAUGCGAGUUUGAGGGUUUAUGUGAGUUUGAAAUGAUAUGAGAAUUAGGGUGUACUUUU
rnacentral:lncRNA from 1 species